rnacentral:lncRNA from 1 species
GCAUCACAUUUUAUUUCAAUACUUAAUGGAAUUCAAAGGUUACAAGUUUGAGUUAACUCAAUUAACUAGGACAUUCAAAAUCACAAUAUUGCCAAAUUUGAGACACUGUUACACAGUUUACAGAGAUGAUGGAAUUUAUCUCAAAACAUCCAUUUUAACAUUCAAACUUUAAGGCAAUCUAAGAAUUCAAAAUAUACCCACUUUUUACACCACCCUUUAUGUUUAUUAUCUAGAACUCUGUUUACAAUUUUUGUUUUCAUAUUAUUUUUUGUUAUUUUUCUACGUUUUUUUUUUUUUUUACAGAGCUCUAGAUAAUAAAAAUAUGGGAUGCAUGUCUAAGGUUAGAGGUAUAAGCAAAGACAUUCAAAAUAAGAAUAAUGCAAAUCUAUGACACUUUUAGACUGUAAUAAAUAAAGAACAAUAGGUUUUAUCUCUAAAUAUGUAAAAUCAAAAGAAUUGUACGUCCAAUUAAACAUUUUCGUUUUGAAUUUCAUAAAUAUCUUUGAUGAAAAAAAGAAAAUUUAAAAUAUGCCCACUUUUUACACCACCCUUAAUGUUUAUUAUCUAGAACUCUGUUUACAAUUUUUGUUUUCAUAUUAUUUUUUGUUAUUUUUUCGACAUGGUUUUUUUUUUUUUUUUUUUUUUUACAGAGCUCUAGAUAAUAAAAAUAUGGGAUGCAUGUCUAAGGUUAGAGGGAUAAGCAAAGACAUUCAAAAUAAGAAUAAUGCAAAUCUAUGACACUUUUAGACUGUAAUAAAUAAAGAACAAUAGGUUUUGUCUCUAAAUAUGUAAAAUCAAAAGAAUUGUACGUCCAAUUAAACAUUCUCGUUUUGAAUUUCAUAAAUAUAUUUGAUGAAAAAAAGAAAAUUUAAAAUAUGCCCACUUUUUACACCACCCUUAAUGUUUUUAUUAUUAUCUAGAACUCUGUUUUACAAAUUUUGUUUUCAUAUUAUUUUUUGUUAUUUUUCUACAGUUUUUUUUUUUUUUUUUUUUUUUUUUUUUACAAGAGCUCUAGAUAAUAAAAAUAUGGGAUGCAUGUCUAAGGUUAGAGGUAUAAGCAAAAUAAAGACAUUCAAAAUAAGAAUAAUGCAAAUCUAUGACACUUUUAGACUGCAAUAAAUAAAGAACAAUAGGUUUUGUCUCUAAAAUAAUUAAAUCAAAAGGAAUUGUACGUCCAAUUAAACAUUCUCGUUUUAAAUUUCAUACAUAAAUAUUUGAUGAAAAAAAGAAAAUUUAAAAUAUGCCCACUUUUUACACCACCCUUAAUGUUUAUUAUCUAGAACUCUGUUUACAAUUUUUGUUUUCAUAUCAUUUUUUGUUAUUUUUCUACAUGUUUUUUUUUUUUUUUUUUUUUUUUUUUUUUUUUUUUUUACAGAGCUCUAGAUAAUAAAAAUAUGGGAUGCAUGUCUAAGGUUAGAGGUAUAAGCAAAGACAUUCAAAAUAAGAAUAAUGCAAAUCUAUGACACUUUUAGACUGGAAUAAAUAAAGAACAAUAGGUUUUGUCUCUAAAUAUGUAAAAUCAAAAGAAUUGUACGUCCAAUUAAACAUUCUCGUUUUGAAUUUCAUAAAUAUCUUUGAUGAAAAAAAGAAAAUUUAAAAUAUGCCCACUUUUUACACCACCCUUAAUGUUUAUUAUC